CCUUUCGGGUCCGAGUUGUAAUUUGUAGAGGAUGCUUUUGGCAAGGCGCCGCCCGAGUUCCCUGGAACGGGACGCCACAGAGGGUGAGAGCCCCGUCUGGCUGGCCGCCGAGCCUCUGUAAAGCUCCUUCGACGAGUCGAGUAGUUUGGGAAUGCUGCUCAAAAUGGGAGGUAUAUGUCUUCUAAAGCUAAAUAUUGGCCAGAGACCGAUAGCGCACAAGUAGAGUGAUCGAAAGAUGAAAAGCACCUUGAAAAGAGGGUUAAAUAGUACGUGAAAUUGUUGAAAGGGAAGCGCUUGUGACCAGACUUGGGCGCGGCGGAUCAUCCGGGGUUCUCCCCGGUGCACUUCGCCGCGUCCAGGCCAGCAUCAGUUCGCCGCGGGGGAAAAAGGCUUCGGGAACGUGGCUCCCCU
rnacentral:rRNA from 1 species